UGGGGAAUAUUGGACAAUGGGCGCAAGCCUGAUCCAGCCAUGCCGCGUGAGUGAUGAAGGCCCUAGGGUUGUAAAGCUCUUUCACCGGUGAAGAUAAUGACGGUAUCCGGAGAAGAAGCCCCGGCUAACUUCGUGCCAGCAGCCGCGGUAAUACGAAGGGGGCUAGCGUUGUUCGGAUUUACUGGGCGUAAAGCGCACGUAGGCGGACUUUUAAGUCAGGGGUGAAAUCCCGGGGCUCAACCCCGGAACUGCCUUUGAUACUGGAAGUCUUGAGUAUGGUAGAGGUGAGUGGAAUUCCGAGUGUAGAGGUGAAAUUCGUAGAUAUUCGGAGGAACACCAGUGGCGAAGGCGGCUCACUGGACCAUUACUGACGCUGAGGUGCGAAAGCGUGGGGAGCAAACAGG
rnacentral:rRNA from 1 species